ensembl:lncRNA
CUACUAUAACAGGUCAGUUAUCUGGUGAUAGUAUAGUGUUCUGAUAGCUACACUACUAUAACAGGUCAGUUAUCUGGUGAUAGUAUAGUGUUCUGACAUCUACACUACUAUAACAGGUCAGUUAUCUGGUGAUAGUAUAGUGUUGACAUCUACACUACUAUAACAGGUCAGUUAUCUGGUGAUAGUAUAGUGUUGACAUCUACACUACUAUAACAGGUCAGUUAUCUGGUGAUAGUAUAGUUCUGACAUCUACACUACUAUAACAGGUCAGUUAUCUGGUGAUAGUAUAGUGUUGACAUCUACACUACUAUAACAUGUCAGUUAUCUGGUGAUAGUAUAGUGUUGACAUCUACACUACUAUAACAGGUCAG